GACGAACGCUGGCGGCGUGCUUAACACAUGCAAGUCGAACGGUAAGGCUCCAGCUUGCUGGGGUACACGAGUGGCGAACGGGUGAGUAACACGUGGGUGACCUGCCCUGCACUUCGGGAUAAGCCUGGGAAACUGGGUCUAAUACCGGAUAGGACUGCACCGUGAGGGUGUGGUGGAAAGUUUUUUCGGUGUGGGAGGGGCCCGCGGCCUCUCAGCUUGUUGGUGGGGUAAUGGCCUACCAAGGCGGCGACGGGUAGCCGGCCUGAGAGGGUGGACGGCCACAUUGGGACUGAGAAACGGCCCAGACUCCUACGGGAGGAAGCAGUGGGGAAUAUUGCACAAUGGGCGGAAGCCUGAUGCGGCGCCGCCGCGUGGGGGAUGACGGCCUUCGGGUUGUAAACUCCUUUCACCAUCGACGAAGGGUUUCUGACGGUAGAUGGAGAAGAAGCACCGGCUAACUACGUG
rnacentral:rRNA from 1 species